AUUGAACGCUGGCGGCAUGCCUUACACAUGCAAGUCGAACGGUAACGGGUCCUUCGGGAUGCCGACGAGUGGCGAACGGGUGAGUAAUAUAUCGGAACGUGCCCAGUAGUGGGGGAUAACUGCUCGAAAGAGCAGCUAAUACCGCAUACGACCUGAGGGUGAAAGGGGGGGAUCGCAAGACCUCUCGCUAUUGGAGCGGCCGAUAUCAGAUUAGCUAGUUGGUGGGGUAAAGGCCUACCAAGGCAACGAUCUGUAGUUGGUCUGAGAGGACGACCAGCCACACUGGGACUGAGACACGGCCCAGACUCCUACGGGAGGCAGCAGUGGGGAAUUUUGGACAAUGGGCGCAAGCCUGAUCCAGCAAUGCCGCGUGCAGGAAGAAGGCCUUCGGGUUGUAAACUGCUUUUGUCAGGGAAGAAAUCUUCUGGGCUAAUACCCCGGGAGGAUGACGGUACCUGAAGAAUAAGCACCGGCUAACUACGUGCCAGCAGCCGCGGUAAUACGUAGGGUGCGAGCGUUAAUCGGAAUUACUGGGCGUAAAGCGUGCGCAGGCGGCUUUGCAAGACAGAUGUGAAAUCCCCGGGCUCAACCUGGGAGCUGCAUUUGUGACUGCAAGGCUAGAGUACGGCAGAGGGGGAUGGAAUUCCGCGUGUAGCAGUGAAAUGCGUAGAUAUGCGGAGGAACACCAAUGGCGAAGGCAAUCCCCUGGGCCUGUACUGACGCUCAUGCACGAAAGCGUGGGGAGCAAACAGGAUUAGAUACCCUGGUAGUCCACGCCCUAAACGAUGUCAACUGGUUGUUGGACGGCUUGCUGUUCAGUAACGAAGCUAACGCGUGAAGUUGACCGCCUGGGGAGUACGGCCGCAAGGUUGAAACUCAGAGGAAUUGACGGGGACCCGCACAAGCGGUGGAUGAUGUGGUUUAAUUCGAUGCAACGCGAAAAACCUUACCUACCCUUGACAUGUCAAGAAUUCUGCAGAGAUGUGGAAGUGCUCGAAAGAGAACUUGAACACAGGUGCUGCAUGGCCGUCGUCAGCUCGUGUCGUGAGAUGUUGGGUUAAGUCCCGCAACGAGCGCAACCCUUGUCAUUAGUUGCUACGCAAGAGCACUCUAAUGAGACUGCCGGUGACAAACCGGAGGAAGGUGGGGAUGACGUCAGGUCCUCAUGGCCCUUAUGGGUAGGGCUACACACGUCAUACAAUGGCCGGUACAGAGGGCUGCCAACCCGCGAGGGGGAGCCAAUCCCAGAAAACCGGUCGUAGUCCGGAUCGUAGUCUGCAACUCGACUGCGUGAAGUCGGAAUCGCUAGUAAUCGCGGAUCAGCUUGCCGCGGUGAAUACGUUCCCGGGUCU
rnacentral:rRNA from 1 species